rnacentral:rRNA from 1 species
UACCUGGUUGAUCCUGCCAGUAGUCAUAUGCUUGUCUCAAAGACUAAGCCAUGCAUGUCUAAGUAUAAGUAUUAUACAGCGAAACUGCGAAUGGCUCAUUAAAACAGUUAUAGUUUAUUUGAUAAUCGAAUUUACAUGGAUAACCGUGGUAAUUCUAGAGCUAAUACAUGCUGGUGUGCCCGACUUUUUGGAAGGGCGGUAUUUAUUAGAUAACAAGCCAAUAUUCCUCUGGUCUAUUGUGGUGACUCAUAAUAACUGAUCGAAUCGCAAGGCCUAUGGCCGCGGUAAGUCAUUCAAGUUUCUGCCCCAUCAGCUUUCGAUGGUAGUGUAUUGGACUACCAUGGCGUUUACGGGUAACGGAGGAUUAGGGUUCGAUUCCGGAGAGGGAGCCUGAGAAACGGCUACCACAUCUAAGGAAGGCAGCAGGCGCGUAAAUUACCCAAUCCUGACUCAGGGAGGUAGUGACAAGAAAUAACGGACCGGAGCCUCAUGGCUUCCGGGAUUGCAAUGAGCCGAAUUUACACCCCUUAGCGAAGAUCGAUUGGAGGGCAAGUCUGGUGCCAGCAGCCGCGGUAAUUCCAGCUCCAAUAGC